rnacentral:rRNA from 1 species
UACGGGGGGGGCAAGCGUUGUUCGGAAUUACUGGGCGUAAAGGGCUCGUAGGCGGCCAACUAAGUCGGACGUGAAAUCCCUCGGCUUAACCGGGGAACUGCGUCCGAUACUGGAUGGCUUGAGUUUGGGAGAGGGAUGCGGAAUUCCAGGUGUAGCGGUGAAAUGCGUAGAUAUCGGGAGGAACACCAGUGGCGAAGGCGACUACCUGGCCUGUUCUUGACGCUGAGGCGCGAAAGCUAGGGGAGCAAACGGGG